rnacentral:misc_RNA from 1 species
UCCCCGUUACCGGGGCAGUCUGACUAGAAAAAUCCAACUAGACAAAAGGGUUGCGCUCGUUAAUGGACUUAACCAAACAUCUCACGACACGAGCUGACGACGGCCAUGCAUCACCUGUCACUACGGCCCGAAGGCACUCUCUGCUUUCGCAGUGAUUAGUAGGAUGUCAAACCUGGGUAAGGUUCUUCGCUUUGCAUCGAAUUAAACAACACGCUCCACCGCUUGUGCGGGUCCCCGUCAAUUCCUUUAUGUUUUAGCCUUGCGGCCGUACUCCACAGGCGGGAUGCUUAACGCGUUAGCUUCGCUACACAAAGGGUCGAUACUUCGUACAGCUAGCAUCCAUCGUUUACGGCGUGGACUAC